rnacentral:rRNA from 1 species
UACGGAGGAUUCAAGCGUUAUCCGGAUUUAUUGGGUUUAAAGGGUGCGUAGGCGGACUGUCAAGUCAGCGGUAAAAUACGGGGGCUCAACCUCCGCCCGCCGUUGAAACUGACGGUCUUGAGUGGGCGAGAAGUAUGCGGAAUGCGUGGUGUAGCGGUGAAAUGCAUAGAUAUCACGCAGAACUCCGAUUGCGAAGGCAGCAUACCAGUCUGCGACUGACGCUCAGGCACGAAAGCGUGGGGAUCGAACAGG